rnacentral:lncRNA from 1 species
CCCAUGUGAUUUUUAUGCAAAACGCAAUAAUUCAUGAUAAUUUAUUUCUGCUUUUGCUUCCACCAACAUAUACCUCUUUUCCUGGUGCCACUUUGAAAAGGACCAAAAAAUAAAAUAAAAAAAUGUAACGUAAUUUUUCCGAGAUCCAGGGGCAUUUUGGAACCUUUUGGUCUAUAUAUAUAUUUUGACACGCGCAACAUUUAUCUCCACAACACAAGAUUUAAGCAUUAGCACUAAAUCUGUUGAGCAAGAUCUUUCCAUAUAGAGUAGCAGAAAUGGCAGGAGGAAGAAGAGAAAUGAUCAACGGAGGAAAUUUGCUUAGGAAAAUCGAGUAUGGCCGUCAGAUUCCAAAGAGGGGACAAGUGAAGGUGGCGAUUGUUUCUGGAUUGGCUCACUCUUUAUCUUCUAUAUUUUCUUUUGGCGGCCGUCAACAAUCUUGCCAAACGACGCAGUUUUCUUGAUUGUUUGUGAGAGAGUGCAGCUUUGGUUGAGGGUGGAGAUUUUGAUGUUUCACUUUCAAUAAUUCCAGAUUGUAGAGCUUUUUAUGCAUCAAGUUAUGAAUUUACAUUCAUUCCAGUUUCUUGCUUUCUUUAAACAACAUUACUUCGUGUCACUUUUCUCGACUCUAUUUGGAUCAUUUUCAAACUAGAGAUAAACGUACGAACUAUUCUAUGUUAUAUCCUAUGACUGAUGUAUCAUACGAUGCGGUAAUGAACUUUAUAAUGGAAAAAUUAAGGAUGUUCAAAAUUUUCCAUGCCUGGCUAUGCAGAGUACCUGGUGCAUCUUCAGAAAUUAGAUUGGAUUGGGAUGGUGGUAUGGAGUAGAAAGCAGAAGAAUCCGGCUUCUCUAAGAUCGGAAGCUUAGAUGGUCUCUUCACAGGAACUGGAUCGACUUAUGGAACUCAAACUCAACUGACGGAUACGAACAAAUCUUGUAACUACAGCGAGAUAUACAAACACGAAAGCAUUCCUGUAUACAGAAAAGGAUUAUAAUCAGUAAAAUAACUGAUUUCUGCAGAAUCUAAUUUUAAUAUAAAGGGGAAAUUAAUGAUCUAUCACUAUAUUCUUUCCCAGUGAUAUUGGAUAGCAUCGAUAGCCUCCUACGAUGACGAGCAAAGUGAGGCGUUACACGCCUGCGUUGGGCCAUCGACCCCCAUGAACGCUCUACGUCUUCCCAAGACUGUCGACUCUCAUGAGAUUUCCUACUUUGCCAAUCCAACACUUCACUAUAAAAUCAUCUAUGAAUUGAUGAGAUGCACGUAAUGGCUGGCACGGAUACAACCAACCAACGGGUAGCUGAAGACUCCCCACUCAAAAUGUGGGGUAGUGAAAGAGGCUACGUGAGACACGUGACACCGUAACCUUUCAACCGUUGCACUGCUCCACUCCCUUAUAAAUACCCUCAACGCGAAACAGGUAUGGGCAUAGAGAAACUUUGGCUAUUGAGCUAUUCGAAUUUCAUCUUUGUUUUUCCUAACACCGUAUGCUGAUUCUCACGUCGGAGAUAAAACGGGAUAGAAAGCGCCGCUCUCAUUUUUCAGAUAACACUCGUUUAUCGGAGUAGCAGGAAUGCCUUGCGCCAUCAGGUGGAUAUAGAGGUAUUGU